GGAAUUCCACCUGAUGAUUUCCUAGGCUUCAAACCCGGUGAGGGGUGUCAGUCACUCCUGGGUUGGUUCGACUCCAGCUGCUUUCCGCCA
rnacentral:tRNA from 1 species